CUACGGGCCGCUGCAGUGGGGAAUAUUGCACAAUGGAGGAAACUCUGAUGCAGCAACGCCGCGUGGAGGAUGACACUUUUCGGAGCGUAAACUCCUUUUAUAUAGGAAGAAGAUGACGGUACUAUAUGAAUAAGCGCCGGCUAACUCCGUGCCAGCAGCCGCGGUAAUACGGAGGGCACAAGCGUUACUCGGAAUCACUGGGCGUAAAGAGCGUGUAGGCGGAUUAAAAAGUCAGAAGUGAAACCCUAUAGCUUAACUAUAGAACUGCUUCUGAAACUCUUAAUCUAGAAUAUGGGAGAGGUAGAUGGAAUUUCUGGUGUAGGGGUAAAAUCCGUAGAGAUCAGAAGGAAUACCGAUUGCGAAGGCGAUCUACUAGAACAUUAUUGACGCUGAGACGCGAAAGCGUGGGGAGCAAACAGGAUUAGAUACCCCGGUAGUC
rnacentral:rRNA from 1 species